UGCAGUCGAGCGGUAGCACANGNANCUUGCUCCUGGGUGACAAGCGNCGGANAGGUGANUAAUGUCUGGGAAACUGCCUGAUGGAGGGGGANAANUACUGGAAACGGUANCUAAUACCGCAUAACGUCUACNGACCANANUGGGGGANCUUCUGGCCNCAUGCCCUCACAUGUGCCCANAUGGGAUUAGCUAGUAUGUGGGGUAAUGGCUCACCUANGCNACAAUCCCUANCUGGUCUGAGAGGANGACAANCCCCACUGGAACUGAGACACGGUCCCNACACNNACNGGAGGCGCCACUGGGGAAUAUUGCACAAUGGGCGCAAGCCUGAUGCACCCCUGCCCCGUGUGUGAAGAANGCGNUCNGGUUGUAAAGCACUUUCUNCGAGNANGAAAGGUUCNGUGUUAAUAGCACUGUGCAUUGACNUUUCUCGCACAAAAAACACCGGCUAACUCCGUGGCCNGCACCCCCGGUAAUACAGAGGGUGCANGCGUUAAUCGGAAUUNACUGGGCGUAAAGCGCACGCNCGNCGGUUUGUUAANUCUNAGAUGUGAAAUCCCCGCGCUUAACGUGGGAACUGCAUUUGAAACUGGCAAGCUAGAGUCUUGUAGAGGGGGGUAGAAUUCCAGGUGUAGCGGUGAAAUGCGUAGAGAUCUGGAGGAAUACCGGUGGCGAAGGCGGCNCCCUGGACAAAAGACUGACGNUCAGGUGCGAAAGCGUGGGGAGCAAACAGGAUUAGAUACCNUGGUAGUCCACGCUGUAAACGAUGUCGACUUGGAGGUUGUGCCCUUGAGGCGUGGCUUCCGGAGCUAACGCGUUAAGUCGACCGCCUGGGGAGUACGGCCGCAAGGUUAAAACUCAAAUGAAUUGACGGGGGCCCGCACAAGCGGUGGAGCAUGUGGUUUAAUUCGAUGCAACGCGAAGAACCUUACCUACUCUUGACAUCCAGAGAAUUCGCUAGAGAUAGCUUAGUGCCUUCGGGAACUCUGAGACAGGUGCUGCAUGGCUGUCGUCAGCUCGUGUUGUGAAAUGUUGGGUUAAGUCCCGCAACGAGCGCAACCCUUAUCCUUUGUUGCCAGCNNGUAAUGGCGGGAACUCAAAGGAGACUGCCGGUGAUAAACCGGAGGAAGGUGGGGAUGACGUCAAGUCAUCAUGGCCCUUACGAGUAGGGCUACACACGUGCUACAAUGGCGUAUACAAAGAGAAGCGAACUCGCGAGAGCAAGCGGACCUCAUAAAGUACGUCGUAGUCCGGAUCGGAGUCUGCAACUCGACUCCGUGAAGUCGGAAUCGCUAGUAAUCGUAGAUCAGAAUGCUACGGUGAAUACGUUCCCGGGCCUUGUACACACCGCCCGUCACACCAUGGGAGUGGGUUGCAAAAGAAGUAGGUAGCUUAACCUUCGGGAGGGCGCUACCA
rnacentral:rRNA from 1 species